UGCAGAAAAAUCCUCUAAUACAUUGGAUCUAAUCAUCUAAAUUCAUCUAAUUCUUCUUUCAUGUCACGAAUGAUGAUAAUAUACAAAGGUGAUAGAAGAUGACCGUAUGGAAAGUGAAGAAUAAAACAACACGAUGUGAAGAAGUUUCGAAUUAACGAUGAAGAAAAGAAGAAAAAGAAAACUGAGGAAAAAAGAAAUAAAAAUAUCAAAAGAGCAUACGAAGUUUAAAACACAAUUUGCCACGAAAAACCAUCAAUUUCAGAAAUUGUGUCCACAUGAACGAGCUAUCAUCAUUCUGCGAUGACGAUGUAAAACGAAUUUUUCCGAUGAACGAGCUCUCGCCAUAUUCCGUGCAUACGCAACAACUAGACUUGCUAGACACUACACACCGCGAUACUUGAUUGUAUAUUGCGCAACAUGGCUUCAAGGUUGUAAGCCACGAAGUGGUUUCACGUUUGACGAUUAAACUGUGCUUGAAGAGAAGAAAGAACAGAAGAAAAUGAGUAUUGUAAAACGUUUGAAAAACGUGUUGAUUUUAGACGCAUGACAAAAUUCACCUCAAAGAUUUUCCACGUACAUAAAAUAUGAAGCACUGUCGUUAAUAUCCGAUUACAUGGACGAAGCAGAAACUCUUACUAAUUUCAACGUCUGUAUUUUGUUCUACCAACGAGAGAGUAACACAUAACGCACGCUUACACGAGACGAUAGUAGUGUGGCACGUACGCGAGGGAAGGAACAACCAGACAGACCUCGGUGACGGCCAUCUUUCUUUGCACAUGUGGGCAGGAACCGGAGCGGUGCUGCUAUCUGUAGUUCCAUGAAUGCAUUGAUUGCCCGCGAAAGGGGGGCGAGGCCGCAAAAGACUUCGCUGAGAGAACAUCAGGGGCGUAACUAUCCAAGACCAUUCUCUAUUUUUUCACCGCCAAAAAUACCAAAAACAAACCCUUUUUCUCUUACGAUCUACCUCAAAAAUAAAAGGAAAUAAAAGAUACUAUAAUAUUAACAAUAUCAAAUGAAAAAAGAACUAUUGGAAUUUAAGCAAAACAUCGAUUGUUACAAUAUAUGAACAAAAAAUAUGAAACAGAAGAAAUAAAAAAUAUCUUCGAAUGAUUCUCAUGAAAAAAAUGAAAAUAAAAAAAGAAAUAAAAAAAAGUUUGAUAACCUUUAAAAGAUUAACGAAGAAACGUGAUAUCCCCUUAUUAAAAAUUGCUAAAGUUCUUUGACUGAUACUAAAUACACCGUGUGUAUACAUUCUUAUGUGACUUCGCACUUUUUGAAGAAUCACUUUCUCUCUCCCCACUUCUCUAUCACUUCUUUCAUUUCAUUAUCGGUUAUUUAUAGACAAUCACGAGAUAAAUAAAAUAUUCUUAUACGAAAGGAAAAAUAUAAUUAAUCGAAGGUAAACGUUAUGCUAAUUCCAAAAAGUCACGUGGUUUGUAGACGUCCACGUGAUAUCGACCGUAAAACCGUAUAAAUGCAUCUCCUUAGUCAUCUAAUUGGAUAUUGUUGGUUAAAUUAAUCUUCGACAUUGUUGUCAUUCUUGUUUGCUUCUUCUGUCGUUUUAUGUUAGAUGUUUGACAAACAUAAAAAAUAUCUGAUGCGAUUAUUUUUAUAAUUGGACAAUAUUGCUAUGAAGAUAAUGUUAUCCUCUAUUUGAUAUUUUAUGUAAAAUAGUACAAUACGUUUAAUUCUCUCUCUCUCCCCCUCCCUCCCUCUCUCCCUAUAUAUAUAUAUAUAUGCACAUAUAUACAUCUAUAUGUGUAAAACAAUUAAAUUAUUACAAAACGGAUAUUCAUUUUAUCCUUGGAAUCCAUUUAAAGUUAGACAACUCGGUCGACUCGUUUUAUCUUGCUCGAGAUCUCUCUAGGAAGAGAAGUUUGUGAUGCUUCGAAAGUAUGUCAAAUGUUUGACCGGAAGACAAGGACAGUGUAUACUUUUCUCUCUUGCUGACCGUACACUUUAAGCGAGUAAUUUCAAACUCUUUAAAAUAUAAUUCAUGUGAUUACGUUUAUUUAUAUACAAUUUAAUAAUGAGAUAUCUACAAAUUAUAAGAGUUGAAUCGAAAGAUGUUUACUGUCAAUAAAAAUUUUUGCAAACGAUAUACUCUGUAUUAUGGACGACAUGGAAGCAAAAUCAAAUGUGAUUUAUUUCUUUCUAUAAGUUAAAUUUGAAAUUAAUCCUCUCAUCGUACGUUAGGAUUCUUAUCGUACGAUUUACCGAGAUAAGUAUUCAACAAUGAACAAUGAACAAUGAACGACGAAAGGGGGUUGGUCGUUGUUCUGACGAGACAUAUCAUGCAAAAGGGAAAGGAUUGAAUGCACCUUCACGAUGGCACAAGGCGAAAAGCAUUUUAUCGAUUGACCUAUAUUUCGAAUUGUUUCAAGCUCCGCAUGAGGGCGCUUAAAACCUCUGACAUAUAUACGGAACUUCUAAGAUAUAUCGAUAUUAAAAUGAACUUCAUAAGUUCUUAAAAGAAAAAAAAUAAAUAAAUAAAAAUAAAAAGAAAGAAAAAGAUUUUUCGAAAGAAGGAUAAACAGAUAUUAUCUCAUUGUAGAUCAAGCUAGAGGCAUGAUGUUAAAUACGAAGGCCGUUCACUUAUGACGCAAUUCCAAUUUUGUAAAAUUCAUAUUUUCCAUUUCCAUUAAUAUAUUCUAGAAACAUAUAGAUGAAUACAAUGAUCUGAACAAAUGAAAGUGAUGAUCCAUGGUUCGAGAAUAGAAGAUCAAGUUAUUACGAAUCUGAUCUAACAAUGUGACUAAUAAACAUUAGUGUCAAAUUUACACUGGCUUCUUGAAUUAUUAUUGUAUAAAUGAACAAAUGAAAAUGUUUCGUCUGAAGCGAUACUUUUUCCUUUAUUACAUAGUAGCAGUUUGAUUCGAGCAAACGGUUAAAAUUGAAAGAACCUAUGAUGACUGACUCCUCUACGUAAAAAACGUAAAAAUCUCUUAUUGAAAUUAUUUGACACUUUGAAGACACAUAAAAACGCACAUCUCUUUAUCUUGAUUCAUUGAAUGGACAAAUCAUUCUUGCACGACCUGAGCCCAUCAGUGUGCCUGCAAAUAGAGGCAAGCUGUACGACUCCUGAACAGAUAGGUCACCAGGUCAGAUUAACUACCCCUCCGCAUACCCGAAAAUAACUCAGGCUUGGUAUACAUUCGUUCUCUAUUAGUAGACAAAUCAAAUAUUUGAGACUAUGCCAUCACAAUACAGUAUCAUAAGACGAUAUGUAUCAAUUCCCUAAAAACCACAUAUGAAUAUAAAAUUCAACGAUAGAAAAUAUAACAAAACGAGAAAUAAUGAAGUAACAAAAUGUUUCAAAAACAAGAUGGAAAACCAAGGUGCAUCCAUUGGUCAACAAACAACAUGUCCAUGAUGGAGCAUUUAAGAAACGUCUAGAUCAGCCAGCAUAAAUAGAACAUGCACAUUUAUCAUUAGGCGAAGAACGAAAGGGAAGAAUAUGAAAGAAUAUAUGUAAAUGGUUUGAAUCAAGGCAUGUUACAAAAUAACAGGAAAAUAAAUUCAUGCGAAUGUCAUCCAAAAAUAAAAUAGAAUUUCCGGCUAUUCCCAAUUAUUCUGAUAAAUAUGUAAUUUAUAGUUUCUAAAUUUGAAUUCAAUAAAUCAUACAAAAUUAAAAACAAUUUUCUAGCAAUAUACAAUCGUUAAAAAUUUCAUUGUCAAAUGUAUCAUUGACUGUGUCUGUAAUGUAUUUAUUAGCAGGAUGUAUAUAAAGAGAUGAAAAUUGUCUAAUCGCAUGGUCUUUUUCCCACACUUCUCGAUGUCUGUUUGCUCCUAGUCUCACACCACGAACUGGGAUAUAUGUAUCUUUAUCCCUACCACGAUAUUCUCUCGUGAUACUUCUACUGUCACGUAUCCCCACCACUACAUCUUCCUACGGUUGGUUCUCACUGCCGAACGUCAAGGAGAGAACAUUCCUUAGGUGGGGGAAGUUACGCCAA